GACGAACGCUGGCGGCGUGCUUAACACAUGCAAGUCGAACGGUGAAGCGCCUUCCUUUUUGGUGGGUGUGGAUGAGUGGCGAACGGGUGAGUAACACGUGAGUAACCUGCCCCCUUCUUCUGGAUAACCGCAUGAAAGUGUGGCUAAUACGGGAUAUUCUGGGUCUGUCGCAUGAUGGGUCUGGGAAAGAUAUUGUUUCGGUGGGGGAUGGGCUCGCGGCCUAUCAGCUUGUUGGUGGGGUGAUGGCCUACCAAGGCGGUGACGGGUAGCCGGCCUGAGAGGGUGGACGGUCACACUGGGACUGAGACACGGACCAGACUCCUACGGGAGGCAGCAGUGGGGAAUAUUGCACAAUGGGCGCAAGCCUGAUGCAGCGACGCCGCGUGAGGGAUGGAGGCCUUCGGGUUGUGAACCUCUUUCGCCAGUGAAGCAGGCCUGCCUCGUUUGUGGGUGGGUUGACGGUGGCUGGAUAAGAAGCGCCGGCUAACUACGUG
rnacentral:rRNA from 1 species